UCAGAUUAGCAACGAUUUCGAGUGACAUCUUUGAUGGAGACUAGAUACUAAACACACAGUAUUUUUCUUCGUUGAAAGGCGGGUAGUUUAUUAGUGUGCCUUGGUGAGCAUUAACCGGUUUUCUUUGCUGCAGCAGGAGUGUUCUGAGUGAAAUAGGAGUCACACCCGACAAACCUGCAAAUCGCCGCUGAUUACUGUCUACAGUGAGGCUGCAAAAAUGUUGGUUGACAUUGCUGAACUGAGGUGGGCUAAUUGCGAGGGCUUCUGAACCAACAGGACCGAGGAGGAAGAAAUAAUGUGUUCAGCUGGAACUUUGGACGUCAUCUACGAGGCUACACGGUAUCGUAAUCCAAAAGACCACAUUAUGAAUUAUUACGAAUUUCACGAAGAAAUGCACGUAAGCUCAUGGUUUUCAACUACAGUUUUAGAAACUUUAUGUUGACAUGUAAGAGGUAGAACUUCGUAUACAAGUGAGCCCACACGGCCGUAAUUUUAAAACAUUCUCGUGUUGGUUAUCGAAUCUACCAAAACAGACAAAUGCUUUCAACAAGUUAGAGUGAGAAGCAUAGCAAGGACUUUUGAGAAAGAAUGAACGUCACAUAGACGCAUUCAACCUAUUUUACACUUUUAUUGAUUUUACCAAAAGCGAUGAAAUGUUGAAAUCGAUAUUCAUAUGGUAAUGUACGGAAUAAAAUGUCCACUAACAAAAUGACUGAUGUCUGUACGGUGUCUACAAUGAAACGCCCUAAAUUUGAAGAUGUUUUAAAAAUUGGCAAAUGGUAU